UAACUGAAUCCAUAGGUUAAUGAGGCGAACCGGGGGAACUGAAACAUCUAAGUACCCCGAGGAAAAGAAAUCAACCGAGAUUCCCCCAGUAGCGGCGAGCGAACGGGGAGGAGCCCAGAGCCUGAAUCAGCAUGUGUGUUAGUGGAAGCGUCUGGAAAGGCGCGCGAUACAGGGUGACAGCCCCGUACACAAAAGCGCAUGUGCUGUGAGCUCGAUGAGUAGGGCGGGACACGUGGUAUCCUGUCUGAAUAUGGGGGGACCAUCCUCCAAGGCUAAAUACUCCUGACUGACCGAUAGUGAACCAGUACCGUGAGGGAAAGGCGAAAAGAACCCCGGCGAGGGGAGUGAAAAAGAACCUGAAACCGUGUACGUACAAGCAGUGGGAGC
rnacentral:rRNA from 1 species